rnacentral:rRNA from 1 species
AACGAACGCUGGCGGCAUGCCUAACACAUGCAAGUCGAACGAGACCUUCGGGUCUAGUGGCGCACGGGUGCGUAACGCGUGGGAAUCUGCCCUUGGGUUCGGAAUAACAGUUAGAAAUGACUGCUAAUACCGGAUGAUGACGUAAGUCCAAAGAUUUAUCGCCCAAGGAUGAGCCCGCGUAGGAUUAGCUAGUUGGUAAGGUAAAGGCUUACCAAGGCGACGAUCCUUAGCUGGUCUGAGAGGAUGAUCAGCCACACUGGGACUGAGACACGGCCCAGACUCCUACGGGAGGCAGCAGUGGGGAAUAUUGGACAAUGGGCGAAAGCCUGAUCCAGCAAUGCCGCGUGAGUGAUGAAGGCCUUAGGGUUGUAAAGCUCUUUUACCAGGGAUGAUAAUGACAGUACCUGGAGAAUAAGCUCCGGCUAACUCUGUGCCAGCCGCCGCCGUAAGAC